rnacentral:lncRNA from 1 species
UGUGGCUGGAAAGAGCAUCGCCGGAGUUUCAGAAUCUGAUAACUGUGCGGGCCACUUGGGCAAGUCACCCUGUCUUUCCCGGAAAGGGGAAGCAGAAGGUGGAGAGCCCACCAUCCGAUCACGAUUCCACCCCCGGAGAGUCCUUACCUCCAUUCUACCAGAAGACCCUCGAGACUCACAGUCGAGAGGACCUCCUGGAUCAAAGAUUUUGGGAGAUGAACCAGC